rnacentral:lncRNA from 1 species
GAGAGGAUUAUAUUAAUGUGGAAGAGUUGGGGAAAAGAAGAGGUCCAUGGAGAUGACCUAAUGCCAUCUUCCUUGGCUGCAUUAACCUAAAUUGUCUCAUAGCAUUUGCUUUAACAAUUUAAAACCCCAAUGGAAGGCAGAAAGCAAAAGAUAAGCGGUGCCAAUAAAGUAGGCAUGGCUCUCGAGAUGGCAAAAUUCUUCCAGAGAAGGGGGAGAGAAAGGUACAAAUUUUGCCCGCCGUUUGGCAUGACCUCCGCGCUCUACGGAACACCGCAUGGAAAACACCCCCCUACCCCUUCCCAGUUCCCAGAAAUGAGCAUCUUCCACGCGGAUCGGGGCUGCAUCUUUAGCACGAAAGAAGGAUUCAGCACAGAUAGCAAAGCGCUAUGUACAACAGUUCACGAAUAAAUAUUGUACAAGUUCCGAAGAUUUCUU